GGUUCCCGAAAAGGGGCCAUUUUUAGGGAGGCUCUUUAUAUAUUUCUUGACUUCCUGCUUUCGCUACAUCACGCCAAAUCCGAGUUGAAUGCAAGGGCCUUGAACUGAAUCUAGAGCUUUCACAAAAACACACCGAGACAUUUACCUGCCUUGUUCAGCUGCAGCAAUCGCCAUUUGUUUCCUAUCAUCUGGCAGUUCCUUUGAUCUUAUCGAACAGCCAUUCGCAGGGAAUUAGUGGCAACCUUUAAACCAUCUAGAUGCAAUUAAGCUUCCCAGACAGAAACCAAAA